rnacentral:rRNA from 1 species
UCCGUAGGUGAACCUGCGGAAGGAUCAUUAAUGAAUUCACUAUGGAGUUGUUGCUGGCCUCUAGGGGCAUGUGCACGCUUCACUAGUCUUUCAACCACCUGUGAACUUUUGAUAGAUCUGUGAAGUCGUCUUUCAAGUCGUCAGACUUGGUUUGCUGGGAUUUAAACGUCUCGGYGUGACAACGCAGUCUAUUUACUUAACACACCCCAAAUGUAUGUCUACGAAUGUCAUUUAAUGGGCCUUGUGCCUAUAAACCAUAAUACAACUUUCAACAACGGAUCUCUUGGCUCUCGCAUCGAUGAAGAACGCAGCGAAAUGCGAUAAGUAAUGUGAAUUGCAGAAUUCAGUGAAUCAUCGAAUCUUUGAACGCACCUUGCGCCCCUUGGUAUUCCGAGGGGCAUGCCUGUUUGAGUGUCAUUAAAUUCUCAAACUCACUUUGGUUUUUUUUCCAAUUGUGAUGUUUGGAUUGUUGGGGGCUGCUGGCCUUGACAGGUCGGCUCCUCUUAAAUGCAUUAGCAGGACUUCUCAUUGCCUCUGCGCAUGAUGUGAUAAUUAUCACUCAUCAAUAGCACGCAUGAAUAGAGUCCAGCUCUCUAAUCGUCCGCAAGGACAAUUUGACAAUUUGACCUCAAAUCAGGUAGGACUACCCGCUGAACUUAAGCAUAUCAAUAAGCGGAGGA